rnacentral:rRNA from 1 species
UACGUAGGGGGCGAGCGUUGUCCGGAAUCAUUGGGCGUAAAGCGCGUGUAGGCGGUUCGGUAAGUCCGCUGUGAAAGUCGGGGGCUCAACCCUCGAAAGCCGGUGGAUACUGUCGGGCUAGAGUGCGGAAGAGGCGAGUGGAAUUCCUGGUGUAGCGGUGAAAUGCGCAGAUAUCAGGAGGAACACCAAUUGCGAAGGCAGCUCGCUGGGACGUUACUGACGCUGAGAAGCGAAAACGUGGGGAGCGAACAGG